UUAGAAAUGUUUUUAUUUAUUUAUUUAAACAUAGAGGUAGAGAUAGGACAAAUCCCAUUAGGAACUACCUCACAACUACAUAUGUAAGCAACAAUAGACAGACCACUACAAAUUGCAGUAACCGUUGAUCAACCUAAACAUGAAGUGAACCUCACUACAACAUCUACAUUGUUGAAGUGUAAGCAUAUGAUAGAUUUGGCAGACAGAUAAAUAAUCUGUAUAAGGAUGACAGAAUCGAAAGGAAAAAUGUAGAUGUCAGAUGAAAACAUAACCUCUAAAAAAUGAGUUGCUAAAAUAACUAUUAGGAGGGCGAGAAAUGUAACGAAAUACUUUAUUCUUUGAUAAUUAAGGAGUAUUUAGGAGAUGAAAAAUGUGAUUUAAACUUUAUUUGGAAAUGUUUUUAUUUAUUUAUUUAAACAUAGAGGUAGAGAUAGGACAAAUCCCAUUAGGAACUACCUCACAACUACAUAUGUAAUUUAACAAUAGAAAGACCACUACAAGUUGCAGUAACUAUUGAUCAACCUGAACAGGAAGUGAACAGAAUCGAUAGGAAAGGUGUUUUAGAAACCUCACCUGAACUCUCUCUAUUUUAUUAACAUAAACAUUAUAGUGAAGAUCCCAAACAGUGUUUCUGAAACAAAAUAUUGUUUACAAAGGCAUUAUUUAGGGCCUAUAUUUCAUUUGACAGAUAACUUAAAGUGACAGCAACCACUUCACGUUAUGAUAAUUACAGAAAUCUGUAAUUUAAACAUGUUUUAUAGGCAAUGUGUUUAGUAAAAGAUUCAAACGAA